AUAAAAUACAGAUAAAUUACAUCUUCUUACAAAAUAAAUUUAUAUGCAUAGAAAUUGUAAAAUUUUGUACCUGAAAAGCUUGAAUAAGGGAAACAUCAAUGAUAGAAGGAUUAUUGGAUUGAAAAGCAGCUACAGAUUGAAGAAGACCAAGGUUCUGAAAUGAUUGUCUAACAGUAAGAGAAGAAAGAGUAUCAUUAGUAAGAAGAAGAAUAGGCCAAGUGAGCCUAACACAGUUAAAUCCCAUGGACUUUAUUCCAUUAGAAAUAACAUCCACAGGCUUUUUACUCAGCCCUUCAGCCACCACAGCAUCUAAAUGAGACACCCAAUUCAAACAUGCUAGUUUCACUCUUUCUCCAUCUUGAUUCACUAUCCAUCGUGAACUUGUUCCUAGUGGAACACCUUUCACUGCCACCACCGGAUUCAAUUCUAAUAUGAUUGUUCCGAUUAAUAUCAACAUGAUGCACCGCCACAGACUCAUUUUGUGUUUCUUUUUCUUAUGAUAUGAUAUUAUGUAUGAGAUAUAUAUAAUAAUAUAUGAUCCAUGCGGGCGGCAACAUGAAUAUUCAAUGACAAGUAACUUUGUUGUAUCCUAUUUUGUCAUCUUUCCUUUUAAGCAUGUAAUAUAAUAGUCUUCUUGUACUUUUGUAUACGCCUUACCACUUCAUGGAGACAAGUUUUAUGACAUGGUUAAAGAUAAAAUAUAAUUUACAAUUUCUGACUUCAA
rnacentral:lncRNA from 1 species